rnacentral:rRNA from 1 species
CCUACGGGUGGCAGCAGUGGGGAAUAUUGCACAAUGGGGGAAACCCUGAUCCAGCGACGCCGCGUGAGUGAAGAAGUAAUUCGUUAUGUUAAGCUCUAUCAGCAGGGAAGAAAAUGACGGUACCUGAGUAAGAAGCCCCGGCUAACUACGAGCCAGCAUCCGCGGUAAUACGUAGGGGGCAAGCGUUAUCCGGAUUUACUGGGUGGAAAGGGAGCGUAGACGGCAGUGCAAGUCUGGAGUGAAAGGCGGGGGCUCAACCCCCGGACUGCUGUGGAAACUGUACGGCUGGAGUGCAGGAGAGGUAAGUGGAAUUCGUAGUGUAGCGGUGAAAUGCAUAGAUAUUACGAGGAACUCCAGUGGCGAAGGCGGCUUACUGGACUGUAACUGACGUUGAGGCUCGAAAGCGUGGGGAGCAAACAGGAUUAGAUACCCCUGUAGUC